GGCGUGGGCCACAACAGAGCCGGCUGCGCCGACCUGUGGUGGAGGCACCACCAGAGCCACCGGCCGAGCAGCCCCAAGUUUCUAGCGUUGGCGAGGCUCCACCAACAAGCGCGCCCCAUGAAGGCCCCUCUACCAGCAGUAUGUCAGGGCCACCAGCGAGCAACCCUCAGGGGACGGACAACGUCCUGAACGCCAUUGAGGCACUGGAGGGCCGAAUCAUGAACACCCUGAACAAUGUGCAGAGCAGACUUGACACCGUGGAGCGCCUGCUCCUCUACCAGGGAAGGAAGCACAGGGCGCUUGAGAGGCGUGUUCGGGCACUG